AUUCAAAGUGAAUGGGAAGCGUUGACGCUGACGCCCCGUGUGAAUAGGGCGUCUGUGUUGCAAUGUGGCGUUGGUGGUUGGAGCGAGACAUGAUGUACAACAUGUGCUCAGUUGGAUUCAGGUUUGGGGAACGGGCGGGCCAAUCCAUAGCAUAAAUGCCUUUAUCUUGCAGGAACUGCUGACAUGCUCCAGCCACAUGAGGUCUAGCAUUGUCUUGCAUUGGGAUGAACCCAAGGUCUGCUGCACCAGCAUAUGGUGUCACAUGGCGUCUGAGGAUCUCUUCUCGGUACCUAAAGGUAGUGUAGCUACCUCUGGCGUGCACAUGAAGGGCUGUGCGGCCCUGCAAAGAAAUGCCAUCCCACACUAUUAUUGACCCGCUGACAAACCAGUCAUUCUGGGGGAUGUUGCACAUGUGCGAUUGUCUUGUUUUAACAGUAUUUAAAAAUGGUGCUUCCUGUGUUGUCGUUUCUAUUCUUGCGCAUAAGUAACGAUUCUCUGUAAACCAAUAAACGUUUAGCAGUGAGUCCAAACUUAAA